rnacentral:rRNA from 1 species
CAGGCCUAACACAUGCAAGUCGAACGAGACCUUCGGGUCUAGUGGCGCACGGGUGCGUAACGCGUGGGAAUCUGCCCUUGGGUUCGGAAUAACUCGCCGAAAGGCGUGCUAAUACCGGAUGAUGUCGUAAGACCAAAGAUUUAUCGCCCAGGGAUGAGCCCGCGUAAGAUUAGGUAGUUGGUGAGGUAAAGGCUCACCAAGCCGACGAUCUUUAGCUGGUCUGAGAGGAUGAUCAGCCACACUGGGACUGAGACACGGCCCAGACUCCUACGGGAGGCAGCAGUGGGGAAUAUUGGACAAUGGGCGAAAGCCUGAUCCAGCAAUGCCGCGUGAGUGAUGAAGGCCUUAGGGUUGUAAAGCUCUUUUACCCGGGAUGAUAAUGACAGUACCGGGAGAAUAAGCUCCGGCUAACUCCGUGCCAGCAGCCGCGGUAAUACGGAGGGAGCUAGCGUUGCUCAGAAUUACUGGGCGUAAAGCGCACGUAGGCGGCUUUGUAAGUCAGAGGUGAAAGCCUGGAGCUCAACUCCAGAACUGCCUUUGAGACUGCAUCGCUUGAAUCCAGGAGAGGUGAGUGGAAUUCCGAGUGUAGAGGUGAAAUUCGUAGAUAUUCGGAAGAACACCAGUGGCGAAGGCGGCUCACUGGACUGGU